CCUAUGUUGGGUUAAGGAGAGAAUAUAUGAAUAAUAUUCUUGCUCAGGUGAUUGCUUAAUAUCUUUCUUUUAUUUCACAUGCACAUACUGUCAUUUAUUAUCUCCGUGCAAAGCAUGAUGAUUUAAUCAAUAAUUUUUGCCUGGUUUAUAUUUCGGUUUAUCCUUGGAGUGCUUCUGCAAUUUCUACUCAGUGCUUGACUGCUUUCAUAGGAUGUCCUACGUGCUCAGUUUAUGUACUCCACCUGGGAUUGAAGUGUAGAGUCUACUGGCCCUUGCACGAUGCAGUACAAACUACUCUUGCAGCAGCACUCCUCCUAUUGUGACCUGUUUCGUUCUGUUUUUCCAAUUCUCAGUACGAAUUUGUGAGGAGCUCUUGCAGUUAAGCGAAGUGUAUUUAGGACAAAUAAUUCUGCGACAUUUGAUAUCAUGGGCCUGCGGUGGCAGUUAGCACUAAUGCACAAGUUUUAUACCACAGUGCACUCAUAGAUGACCCUAGAUAUUCUCUAUCUUUCCCAUGGCUUGAGUUUAUGGUGCUUCAUCCUGGCUAGAAAUCAUGUAUAUUUGACAAUUGGUACGAGUAUUUUAUUUGCCUCCCACCUUUUCUGUUUGAAAUAAGAUUCGUGUACUAAUCAUAUAGAAUUUAGUGAAAAAGUAAUAUUUAGAACCAUUACACAAAUUCAGAACAUUGAGCAAUUAAACUCUUGCAUUAAGCACCUGCAAUGAUAAAGGAAAAGGUAUCUGAAAACCACCUGCAAUAUUGAGAAAUUUAGUGAAAACUUCUCAUCAAAAAUGAAAUUUUCUUGGACAAUAAGCAAUUAAUCCUGUAGUAUAUAUGUCAUACCCUCUUACAUACAUGAUGGAGCUUUCCAAGCUUGAGUUUUAUUUUUCAACACCACUUGAAAAUUAGAAAGCUCUUCUUAGUUUGACCAAAAGUGCAUCUGCAAUAAUAUAUUAGUAUCUUUGUUUAUACGAUUUCGAAACCACUUCUCAUAAUCUACAUUUGAUACCAUAGACUAGAAUAUAUCCCUUGAUAGCAGAUUUGUUUGUUGUAAGCAAUAAUGUUAAAUACUUACUAAUGUUUUAGAUGAUGAUUCAUGACAAUGUCGGACAGUUCGUUGAGCAAAGUGGUGGGAAGCUCCCGAAAACAUCCAUUCCAAUCAUUGUGAAGGUUGAUUUUACCUAUUUCGCUUAAAUGGUGACCUCCUUGCACUCACAUUUUUUUUGCUUAGGAUGCUCAUGCGAUGGUGUGAUGUACAUGUACCUCAGCCAGUUCAUUGAGCAAAGCGGUGGAAGCUCCCAAAACGGUAUGAGUUUAAAACAUGUUCUGGAAUAAUUGCUUAUCUUGUGUUUUAGCUGAUCAAUAUCAUCGAGUGAAAGAUGCUUAUCUAGACCUUUUGAUGCAUAAUAAUUAUCAAGUUAAGAUUUUUAAGGCGUGCUUUUUUGCAGGUUCAUUGCUGGUUUUCUUUUCUCCGAGGUGUGCUCCACAUCCCUCUGCUUGAUCAAUAUGAGGGGCGUUGCUGCUGCAUGACGUCGCUACAUUCCUUUGUUCGUUCGUCAGGUAUGGGGAGUUUGAGGCUCAUAUCUCAAAUAACACUUCCAACACUAUUUGCUAAGUAUUUUCAAUAACGAUGUUUUAUGGUGGAUAACCAAUUGUUGGUUUCCUGUACACUUAAGCCAACAAACACAAAAUCAACAUAUUUCCUCCUUUUCUAAUCGCGAUAACACAAUUUUUUAAGGAUUUUUUCGAAUCUGCUCAUCACUUUUUUUCCAUGAUAUGGGGACUACAUACAUUGCUCUGUUUGAGAUAUUAGCUACCAAUAGGUAUCUCUUGCUGUACUCAAACUAUCAAUAAAUAAAUGAGACAUGCAUGGUUUGUUUUGGCAGUAUACCUUUUUUCUCUUGCCCUUUGGUCAUGUGAGCCAGGUGAACUGUUACAAAUUUUGAUUUCUACAUCCAGUCCAAGCAGUGGUGGAGCUUAGUUGAAACAAAACUGGGCUAUGGCCCGCCCAACUUUGGAGAUUUUCUUCAUACAUAUUGGUAAAUUUAGCCCAAUAACAACCCAUAUUACUCUCCUUAAGCCUAAUGGCCUGCCCAGGUUUUCCUGGCAAGCUCCGCUACCGAGUCCAAGAACCAUCUUGAUUUUAACCAAGUUCUAUAAAUAGUGAGGGAUCAAGCAACCGUUUCGACCUCGAGGUGAACAUUCCGAAUGAGAUGGACCCUGAUAUUGGUGUGAAAGGGAGACAUGGGAGAUUCGAUGGCAGACCUUAGCAGUUGUGGCUUAAUGUGAUCGGACCUGUUCCCUUCAGAUUUGCAUAUGAUUUUGUUAUAGAGCCUUUUUUCUAACAUCAUAUUAUUAUGGGUUUGAGUGUAAGAAAUACAAAUGGUAUUUACCUUUUCCUCGGUCUUUCCAGAAUUUUCUCAUUCUUAUGGACCAUCGGUUCAUUGUUGUGGCUUAGUUUUCUAGCUUAGUGCUAUCUAAUUGGUAGGCUAUAUAUGAUAUGUGUAGGUCCUGAAAACUCACAAGAGCUGUAAAUUCUUUUAUGUACUAACUGAUAAGUUGGAAUAGUAAUUGUUCUGUGUGCAUCAUGAAACUUACAA